rnacentral:lncRNA from 1 species
AUAUACAGCAUGGAACAGGGCUCCACAAGGACAUGAAUACCAGGUGGCAGGGAUCACUGGGCCAUCUCUCUAAAUCACGAAUGAAACAUUUGCAACCUGUGUCUCCCAAACAUGAUAUGUCUCAAUCAUCAAAGGAUCUACAGUGACUACAAUAACCAAGUGCUACAAAAACGCUGUGACGAGGAAUCUGAACAACAGAGAUUUGAGGGAAACAAAACACUUUCGACGAAGGUCCUGCUGCUUGUCUUCAGCUUGGUACCAAUUAGAGCUUCACUGGAGGUGAAAAAAUCGCGGCAUGUCUUCCAAGGAAAAAACUGUAACUAAAUCUAUGGCAAGUUUUUGGAUUAGAAAAAUCUAGGCUUCAUGAAGAUAAGAGCAGAGCUGUGGAAAAGUAAGACAAAGAAAUCAUCCAACAAUACAAGCAACAUACAAGAGGUUUGCAGUCUAUCAAUGAAAACUGAUUAAAUUUACAUAAGUGCUAAUCUCAGAAGAUUAGUGCAUUGACAAUCUAUAGUGUGUGCAAUGGAACUUGAAAAGAGUACUACAAGACUGCCUCCUCACCAUUUCCCAAUGACCUGUACAAUUAAGCAAACGACAUAUUCUUUGAUUGCUUGUGUGUUGGCCUGGAACACUAAAUCUCAUAGUUCAUUAGUAUGCGUUGUUAGAUGUUUCAAUUCCCAGCUACGGUGUUGUCUGGAAGAAACAGCCUCAGGAGGGGCUUAUAUCACUUCUGUCCUCCUUCCCAGCCAAGUAAAGUAAAGCAAAAGAGAAACAACUUUCAAAAGGACUGAAACACUAUGGACUCAAUUUCCAUGUGCUGCACUAAAUGGGGUCCUUAGAGCAUCCCGGGCUGUCUUUGCUCUGAUUUUAUCAGAGUAAAAAAUUUAAAUUUUGCUUAUGAUAGGCUGAAGUUCUUAUAAGGAGGAGAAUUCUGGAAGAAUUUUAAAGAGACAUGAUUAAAAAUAAAUGCUGCACAUUGACAAA